rnacentral:rRNA from 1 species
GGCGAACGCUGGCGGCGUGCUUAACACAUGCAAGUCGAACGGAAAGGCCCUGCUUUUGUGGGGUGCUCGAGUGGCGAACGGGUGAGUAACACGUGAGUAACCUGCCCUUGACUUUGGGAUAACUUCAGGAAACUGGGGCUAAUACCGGAUAGGAGCUCCUGCUGCAUGGUGGGGGUUGGAAAGUUUCGGCGGUUGGGGAUGGACUAGCGGCUUAUCAGCUUGUUGGUGGGGUAGUGGCUUACCAAGGCUUUGACGGGUAGCCGGCCUGAGAGGGUGACCGGCCACAAUGGGACUGAGGUACGGACCAGACUCCUACGGGAGGCAGCAGGGGGGAAUAUUGCACAAUGGGCGGGAGCCUGAUGCAGCAACGCCGCGGGCGGGAUGACGGCCUGCGGGUUGUAAACCGCUUUCGCCUGUGACGAAGCGGUAGUGACGGUAAUGGGUAAAGAAGCACCGGCUAACUACGUG